rnacentral:rRNA from 1 species
UACGGAGGGUGCAAGCGUUGUCCGGAUUUAUUGGGUUUAAAGGGUGCGUAGGCGGCUCUGUAAGUCAGCGUUGAAAUAUGGCAGCUCAACUGUCAGACUGGCAUUGAUACUGCAGGGCUUGAGUGAAGUCGAGGUAGGCGGAAUUGAUGGUGUAGCGGUGAAAUGCAUAGAUAUCAUCAAGAACAUCGAUUGCGAAGGCAGCUUACUAGACUUUAACUGACGCUGAGGCACGAAAGCGUGGGGAUCAAACAGG